UACGUAGGUGGCAAGCGUUAUCCGGAAUUAUUGGGCGUAAAGAGCGCGCAGGUGGUUGAUUAAGUCUGAUGUGAAAGCCCACGGCUUAACCGUGGAGGGUCAUUGGAAACUGGUCAACUUGAGUGCAGAAGAGGGAAGUGGAAUUCCAUGUGUAGCGGUGAAAUGCGUAGAGAUAUGGAGGAACACCGAUGGCGAAGGCAGCUCGCUGGGACGGUACUGACGCUGAGGCGCGAAAGCGUGGGGAGCAAACAGG
rnacentral:rRNA from 1 species